rnacentral:rRNA from 1 species
UACGUAGGGGGCAAGCGUUGUCCGGAUUUAUUGGGCGUAAAGAGCGUGUAGGCGGCCAGACAGGUCCGUUGUGAAAACUCGGGGCUUAACCCCGAGCCUGCAGUGGAUACGGGCAGACUAGAGGUAGGUAGGGGAGAAUGGAAUUCCCGGUGUAGCGGUGAAAUGCGCAGAUAUCGGGAGGAACACCGGUGGCGAAGGCGGUUCUCUGGGCCUUACCUGACGCUGAGGAGCGAAAGCGUGGGGAGCGAACAGG